rnacentral:rRNA from 1 species
GCUUACGGCCAUAUCAUGUUGAAAGCACCGGUUCUCAUCCGAUCACUGAAGUUAAGCAACAUCAAGCCUAUUCAGUACUUAGAUGGGAGACCGCUGUGCUGUAAGCA